UAUUGGUCAAUGGGCUUACGCCUGAACCAGCCAAGUCGCGUGAGGGAAGACUGCCCUAUGGGUUGUAAACCUCUUUUGUCAGGGAGCAAGUGGCGCUACGUGUAGCGUUAUCGAGAGUACCUGAAGAAAAAGCAUCGGCUAACUCCGUGCCAGCAGCCGCGGUAAUACGGAGGAUGCGAGCGUUAUCCGGAUUUAUUGGGUUUGAAGGGUGCGUAGGCAGAAUGCCAAGUCAGCGGUAAAAUCGCGGGGCUCAACCUCGCUCCGCCGUUGAAACUGGCGUUCUUGAGUGAGCGAGAAGUAUGCGGAAUGCGUGGUGUAGCGGUGAAAUGCAUAGAUAUCACGCAGAACUCCGAUUGCGAAGGCAGCAUACCGGCGCUCAACUGACGCUCAUGCACGAAAGCGUGGGUAUCG
rnacentral:rRNA from 1 species